UACGGGGGAUGCAAGCGUUGUCCGGAAUCAUUGGGCGUAAAGAGUUCGUAGGUGGCACGUUAAGUCUGGUGUUAAAUGCAGGGGCUCAACCUCUGUUCGGCACUGGAUACUGGCGAGCUUGAAUGCGGUAGAGGUAAAGGGAAUUCCUGGUGUAGCGGUGAAAUGCGUAGAUAUCAGGAGGAACAUCGGUGGCGUAAGCGCUUUACUGGGCCGUAAUUGACACUGAGGAACGAAAGCCAGGGUAGCAAAUG
rnacentral:rRNA from 1 species